CCUACGGGUGGCAGCAGUGGGGAAUAUUGGACAAUGGGGGAAACCCUGAUCCAGCAAUUCUGUGUGCACGAAGAAGGUUUUCGGAUUGUAAAGUGCUUUCAGCAGGGAAGAAGAAAGUGACGGUACCUGCAGAAGAAGCGACGGCUAAAUACGUGCCAGCAGCCGCGGUAAUACGUAUGUCGCAAGCGUUAUCCGGAAUGAUUGGGCAUAAAGGGCAUCUAGGCGGCCAGACAAGUCUGGGGUGAAAACUUGCGGCUCAACCGCAAGCCUGCCCUGGAAACUGCCUGGCUAGAGUGCUGGAGAGGUGGACGGAACUGCACGAGUAGAGGUGAAAUUCGUAGAUAUGUGCAGGAAUGCCGAUGAUGAAGAUAGUUCACUGGACGGCAACUGACGCUGAAGUGCGAAAGCUGGGGGAGCGAACAGGAUUAGAUACCCUUGUAGUC
rnacentral:rRNA from 1 species